rnacentral:rRNA from 1 species
UACGUAGGGACCAAGCGUUGUUCGGAUUUACUGGGCGUAAAGGGCGCGUAGGCGGCAAUUCAAGUCAGUUGUGAAAUCUCCGAGCUUAACUCGGAACGGGUCAACUGAUACUGUUUUGCUAGAGUACAGAAGGGGCAAUCGGAAUUCUUGGUGUAGCGGUGAAAUGCGUAGAUAUCAAGAGGAACACCUGAGGUGAAGACGGGUUGCUGGGCUGAUACUGACGCUGAGGCGCGAAAGCUAGGGGUAGCAAACGGG